rnacentral:pre_miRNA from 1 species
UCUUAUGGAUGAGCAAAGAAUGUGGUUUCUUGAGAUGGAAUCUACUGCUGGUGAACAGGCUGUGAA